UCCAGCAGUCCAAAAAUAUUAGUCAAUGCUCGAAAGAGUGAACUAGCUAACUGAAAUCAAAAAUAAAAUUGAUAACAUAAGGGAAAAUAAUGAUAUUACCUUAUUAUUAGUGUCGUCCAAAACUGGUGCCAGAAGACUCGGUAAGGCCAGAGACACAAACGUUAAUCGUCUUAAUCAGGCGUAAAGGGUUUGUAGGCUGCUUUUAAUUUACUUAUAAAAUAAAAAUAAUAAGUUAAGAAUAAAAGCUAGAAUCAAAUAGAGGAUAUAUCAAAGAAUGCUUAGAGUAGGUCUGAUAUCCUUAGAUACUAAGUAGAAUAUUAAAGGCGAAAGCUUUUUUCCAUUAAUGAUUGACGCUCAGAAACGAAGGUGAGGAUAGGAAAUAGGAUUAGAUACCCAAAAUACCCCUCUCUGUCAACGAUGAAUGGUAGUUAUUAGUAAUAAUUUUAUUAAUGGCAAUGUUAACACGAUAACCAUUCCGCCUUGUGAGUACAACUGCAAAGUUGAAAACAAAAAAAUUAGUCGGUUUCGGAGCAAACGAAGUGAAGCAUGUUAUUUAAUUCAAUAAUCCGCAAA
rnacentral:rRNA from 1 species